rnacentral:rRNA from 1 species
CAGUCGCCGCGGGAAUACGAAGGGGGCUAGCGUUGUUCGGAUUUACUGGGCGUAAAGGGCGCGUAGGCGGGCUGAUAAGUCGGGGGUGAAAUCCCAAGGCUCAACCUUGGAACUGCCUUUGAUACUGUUGGUCUUGAGUUCGAGAGAGGUGAGUGGAACUGCGAGUGUAGAGGUGAAAUUCGUAGAUAUUCGCAAGAACACCAGUGGCGAAGGCGGCUCACUGGCUCGAAACUGACGCUGAGGCACGAAAGCGUGGGGAGCGAACAGGAUUAGAUACCCGGGUAGUCCCUGUCUCUUAUAC